UACGGAGGGAGCUAGCGUUGUUCGGAAUUACUGGGCGUAAAGAGUACGUAGGCGGUUAUUCAAGUCAGAGGUGAAAGCCCGGGGCUCAACCCCGGAACUGCCUUUGAAACUAGAUAGCUAGAAUCUUGGAGAGGUCAGUGGAAUUCCGAGUGUAGAGGUGAAAUUCGUAGAUAUUCGGAAGAACACCAGUGGCGAAGGCGACUGACUGGACAAGUAUUGACGCUGAGGUACGAAAGCGUGGGGAGCAAACAGGAUUAGAUACCCGGGUAGUCC
rnacentral:rRNA from 1 species